UACGUAGGGUGCAAGCGUUAAUCGGAAUUACUGGGCGUAAAGCGUGCGCAGGCGGCUUUGCAAGACAGAUGUGAAAUCCCCGGGCUCAACCUGGGAACUGCAUUUGUGACUGCAUGGCUGGAGUGCGGCAGAGGGGGAUGGAAUUCCGCGUGUAGCAGUGAAAUGCGUAGAUAUCCGGAGGAACACCAGUGGCGAAGGCGACACGCUGGGCCGUACCUGACACUGAUGCGCGACAGCAUGGGGAGCAAACAGG
rnacentral:rRNA from 1 species